UUAUUUGAUGUGACUGAAUUUAUUUUUUACCUCUGUGGUAUGAUAUGUACUGUCAACAUUCUGAGAAAUAAUUGAACUGUAUUUAAAUUAUCCUGCUUUUCUUUGUAUACAUUUUUUUUGAGAACAUGGAAAUUACCAACCUUUUACACUUCUCUUUCCUUCCUAUAAAUCAGUGAGUUAAUUUAAUAUUAUCUGAAUCUGUCUUACAGGUUUUUAUUUAGUGUGCUUUUGCCUUUUUUUCCUUGUUAGUUUAGUCAAUUAUGUACUAUAUUAAAUAAAAAUAUUUUAAAAUCAUUUAACUUUUGGGAAAAGCAUGCUUUCAAACUUUAAAAAUUCCUUUAAUUUUGGCCAGAACUGUGUAAAAUAUUUUUACACACACACACUGGAUGCAUUUAAUUGGGGCAAACCCAUCAAAAAUUAUGUGAACUUCACUUAUAUGUUAGAAUCAAACUCUGGCCUGUAAUCUUUUUAAUAUUUUUUAAAAAAUGAAACACUACAGUUUGCAAUGAGUUUCAUGCUGGGUCUGUCUGAGUUGGAGAAACUUACAGUAAGGUUGGAGUGCAAAGAUCAAUGCUACUCUACUGUUUUAUAGCCCCAGUCCAGUAGGCACAUGCUCAUAAGAAUAUGAGCAGUGUCAUUGACUUCAGUGGACAUUACUCAUGUACUUAGAGUCACACUUGCUUAAGUGCUUUGCUGCAUUGGUGUGGGGCUUUUUGUUUGUUUGGUUGGUUGGUUGGUUUGGGGGUUUUUUUGUGAAUGAACUUCUAAUAUAGAUGCUUAAAGUCACCUAAGAAUAGUUACGGGUAUGGAACAGUGAGCGCUGCAAUUAACUGCUCCCACCAAAUGGGAAAAUUGCUGAAGGUCGGUUGGGCAUGUUUCUUUAAAUAAUUCCCCUCAUCCCUAUUGUGAAUGCUGUAUUAACUUUUCUACUAAUUUUCCCUAUUCUUUCUCCCCCGAAUGGGAGCCAAAGGAAGCUGCAGCCACAAGGAAUCACAGGCAGUUCAGCUCCAUUGGAGUCGUGGAAGACUGCAUUAUUCAGCAGCAGUUCCAAAAAGGAGGGACAAGAGACUACCUUAACAAAUGCCCUUUGGAAGUUUGGCCUGUCUUGAUGUAACUUUGAAGGUAUGAGGAAACUGACAUGAAGAGAUUGCAGAACGUGACUGGAUGUUGCACAGUGAGCAGCUUGCAAUAAACUGCUCCUAGAAGACCCAGAAUCUAGCUAAGCUCACUCUCUGUGUUCAUGGAACCUUCUAUUUCCCACCUUUCAUCUUUCUCAGCCAUCUCUGCCAUCAACCUGAAUGCUGAGACACACAAGCCUUGUCUACACUGGCAAGUUUCUGCGCAGUAAAGCAGCUUUCUGUAGUGUAACUCCCGAGGUGUAUAUGCUGCCAAGCCACUUAGUGUGCAGAAACUGUGCAGCUGAAGUGCUGUAAAUAAAGCACCCCGAUGAGAGGCAUACAGUUUUCUCUGCCGGGGAUACAGUGCUGCAGUGCCAGUGUAGACCCUCUAGUCGAUUACAGCACUGCAAUUGGCCUCCAGUAGGUGGAGCUCAUCUUAAGUGAUCACUCUCCUUACAAUGUAUAUUUUUUCAUGGUCUGUGUGUAUAUAUAAAAUCUCAUCACUGUACUUUCCACUUUAUGCAUCUGAAGUGAGCUGUAGCUCACGAAAGCUUAUGCUCAAAUAAAUUGGUUAGUCUCUAAAGUGCCACAAGUACUCCUUUUCUUGUUACUGCAUGUGAUGCAUGAAAAAAGCCCAGCUUGACUCUGAAUGAGGGGAAACUGAUAAGAAAAAAAUCUCUUCAUUUGUCAGAGCUUGUCUACACAUGGAGUUGUUCAGAAAUUACUAUUUUGAAAGAGUAAUUCCACACAUGGACACUUGAAUUUCUGAAAUUCCAGUUUAGCUCAAUUCAUGCAGUAACCAGAAACAAGGC